AUUGAACGCUGGCGGCAUGCUUUACACAUGCAAGUCGAACGGUAACAGCACUUCGGUGGCUGACGAGUGGCGAACGGGUGAGUAAUACAUCGGAACGUGCCUAGUAGUGGGGGAUAACUACUCGAAAGAGUAGCUAAUACCGCAUGAGAUCUAAGGAUGAAAGCAGGGGACCUUCGGGCCUUGCGCUACUAGAGCGGCUGAUGGCAGAUUAGGUAGUUGGUGGGAUAAAAGCUUACCAAGCCGACGAUCUGUAGCUGGUCUGAGAGGACGACCAGCCACACUGGGACUGAGACACGGCCCAGACUCCUACGGGAGGCAGCAGUGGGGAAUUUUGGACAAUGGGCGCAAGCCUGAUCCAGCAAUGCCGCGUGCAGGAUGAAGGCCUUCGGGUUGUAAACUGCUUUUGUACGGAACGAAAAGCCCUCUUCUAAUACAGGAGAGUCAUGACGGUACCGUAAGAAUAAGCACCGGCUAACUACGUG
rnacentral:rRNA from 1 species